GGGGAUGUAUUUGGUUUCGACAAUAAUUCUGAAGUAUGAAUAGCGAGUAGUGGAUGGUCGCUUCGGCCACUAUAAAAAAGCGAAAAUAAAAAUAAACGCUGAUAACGAUAGAGAAUUAGCAUACGCUGCUGCUUAGUUUUAAGCAGCCCGUCUUACUAAGACCUCCCACAGUUUUAGAUAAGGCGUUAGAUCGUGGGAUAACAAAUUUACUUUUUGUUGCAAAAGUAAAGGGUAAAUAAGCAACUACUUAAAAGAUAGAUUUGUUUGUUAAUUUACUUUUAAGGAAAAUUUAUAACAAACUGCACUCGGAGAAGUUCAUGUGGACGGAUUACUGGACAGGAGUUCGACUCUCCUCAUCUCCACCA
rnacentral:tmRNA from 1 species